UACGAAGGGGGGCUAGCGUUGUUCGGAAUUACUGGGCGUAAAGCGCGCGUAGGCGGUUUUGCAAGCCAGAGGUGAAAUGCCUGAGCUCAACUUAGGAAUUGCCUUUUGGGGACUGCGAGGCUUUUGAGGACGGGGAGAGGUGAGUGGAAUUCCCCAGUGUAGAGGUGAAAUUCGUAGAUAUUGGGGAAGAACACCGGUGGCGAAGGCGGCUCACUGGCCCGUUUCUGACGCUGCAGCGCGAAAAGCGUGGGGGAUCAAAACAGG
rnacentral:rRNA from 1 species